rnacentral:lncRNA from 1 species
AUGAAUGAAGAGCUCAGGAGGAUGCUGAAGGACUGGAAGUAGAUGGAUUAAAUGCAACCUGCUCGGCACAGGUGAGGUAUUCAUGGGGCCCAGCAUCCUCUCUAUUCAAACCCAGCAAGUCAAGGUAAUAUAGAUAAUGGGAGAUGAAGUUGUUCAUGGCAUCUAUAUCACCCUGGCCGCAAACUUGAUCCCCAUAGAGAACAUUCAUUGUUGUGCCAAAACCAGGAACCCGCUUAGCAAGGGUAUCAUUCUUGGUGGGCUUCCAUUUGCCAAGAAAGGCUUCAUGGGCUGAAGGCUGUGAUUUCUUUAUCGGGGUAUACCACCUCCACAUUGCAGCCUUGAAGGCAAGGGUGGCAUUCUGUUCUAUGUACUCAGGAUGGCUCAACAAAUCCUCCUUCAGAGCUUCUCCAGCAGCUCCAUAGUUAUAGUUCCUAUG